CUCUCUCACUCCUGCUUCCACUGUGUGAUGUGCCUGCUUCCCCUUUGCCUUCCGCCAUGACUGUUGGAACCAAUAUGGCUGACUGGAGCCUGUGCAAAAUAGACUUACUAGCCCGAGGAGCGGCCCUUUGAUGUCACAGCCCAAAUUCCCACAGCUUGUUUUAUACCACCUCCUGAAUCUGCAUGUGACCCUUGAAGCAGCAUGAAGAAGCAACAGCUCAUGACCAAGAGAUUUUCUAAACACUUCUUCGUUUCAGCCAAUCACCGUCCAGCCCGAAACUCCACUUCCAAAAUCUCUCCCUUAAAUCUACUGCUGCGAAGCAAGUAUUGGGAGACAGAUUUGAGCCCGUCUUCUGUCCCCUUGCAAGGCUGCUUGGCAAUACAUCUUUCUUGCUACAAAAAUCCAAUGCUUGGGUGUUUGGUUUUAUGUUGUGCGCAGGCAAAUGCAGCCGGUUUAGUUUGGUAACACGUGAUGUCACUUAAUACACAAGAAACGGGCAAGAUAUGGCAUCCUCAGGGAGCUGUGCCUCACUCAUUCCUAUCCAUAGACUUGCCUUCUUUCAACAACGCAAGCAAAAAGAAGGGUUCAUUUGGGUUGGUUCCAAGUCUUUGCUAUUGUGAACAGUGCCACAAUAAACAUACGUGUGCAUGUGUCC
rnacentral:lncRNA from 10 species